AUUGAACGCUGGCGGCAUGCUUUACACAUGCAAGUCGGACGGUAACAGGGGCUUCGGCCCGCUGACGAGCGGCGAACGGGUGAGUAAUGUAUCGGAACGUGCCCAGUAGUGGGGGAUAACUACUCGAAAGAGUAGCUAAUACCGCAUGAGAACUGAGGUUGAAAGCGGGGGAUCUUCGGACCUCGCGCUACUGGAGCGGCUGAUAUCAGAUUAGGUAGUUGGUGGGGUAAAGGCUUACCAAGCCUGCGAUCUGUAGCUGGUCUGAGAGGACGACCAGCCACACUGGGACUGAGACACGGCCCAGACUCCUACGGGAGGCAGCAGUGGGGAAUUUUGGACAAUGGGCGCAAGCCUGAUCCAGCAAUGCCGCGUGCAGGACGAAGGCCUUCGGGUUGUAAACUGCUUUUGUACAGAACGAAAUGUCUCUGGCUAAUACCUGGGGAAGAUGACGGUACUGUAAGAAUAAGCACCGGCUAACUACGUGCCAGCAGCCGCCGUAA
rnacentral:rRNA from 1 species